GGUUUACUUGAAAAAAAAAAAACAGAUCCUACCUGUUUAUUGCAGAUUCUUUAUUGAUUAUAUCUGCUGGUUGUUUUUCCAGUUUGCAUAAAUGCUGCUUUUCUAAGUGUUGGUCUGCACGUGAGGGCAAUGGGUGGAUUUUUGUGCAUAUUUUCCUGUUCAGUAAAGUUAACACUUAGUCAGUAAAUUCAUUCUGAAAACCUUGUUUUCAACUUGGGAUAGUGGUUGGGUGUUAAUGAAUAGUCAGCCUUUUCCUGUCCAUUUCUACUUGAUGCGUGACCCUAUGUAGAAUGGGACUUUUCUUAAUAUAGCAGUCAUUACUAUGAUAAAAUACUUUGAUUUGGGAAAAAAUAAUAAUUCCUGAGUGAUCUGUGAACUUAAAACACAUUGAAUUCCUAUUAGAAAUGUUACUCUACGAAUUACAAUUUUAUUUGAGGUUAUUACUACAUUUACUGUGAUCUUCUGCUUGACCUUAAGUCACAGCCUGGGCUCAUGGUUUGAUUUUUACCAUUUUGCACCUACAGGUUACUCCUAGCUGGUGAGCUACAAUUUAGAUCAGUAGUUCAGAAGAGGAUGAAAAAUACUAUUUCUAGUAUCUAUGGCUGAUAAGUGAGGAAUGAAAUAAUGAAUUGUCCUGGCCGUGCUCUGAAGUCUGUGGCAAAGCUAAAAUUUGAAAUUGUGUGUUCUGACUCAGCUAUCAGAUACAACUCCUUGCCUGGGUGUUUAGAUGUACAAAACCAUUUUUUAUUUACUGAGUAGUUUGAAUGUCACCUAACAAAGCAAGUUCUCUUCUUGUUUUGACAUGAACAACUGAGAUUUCCUCUUUUGCCCACAGACUUCAUUAACUAUGUAGCUUUUUUAAUCACCAGGCACUCACCCAAAAUAGCCUACACAUUGUUCGAGUGUCCUUACUGGUAGGAAGCAUGACCUUCUCUCUGAUACUGGGCCACCAAAAAAGAAUGUAGUAAAUUUUAAUGUGAUUGUAACUUAGCCAGCAUUUACAUAAAAGAAAACAAUGAUCUUCUUGUUAUGGAGAUCAUUAAUGAAACAUCAGCAGUGGUCUGCAAAUGCUACCACGUUGUGAUCCAGCUGAAAAAACAGCCUUGUGUAACUUGAGUACAUUGCAUAACACAGGAAGUGGAAAAACAAACUAAAUUUUCAAGGGCUGUUUGCAUUUUAACUAGAGCUGAAUGAAAAGUCUACAGUGAAUAACUUUUUGAGUAAUUUAACUAUUGUAUCCUCUGAAGGUAUAUCUAUGAGGCUGAAUAAAUUCUUCCUCGCCUGUUCAAUGCUGCUAUUUGUGGUGGCAUUUUUCAGUGUGUUAAUCUAACAUAUGAAAUUCAAAUAGCAUAGAAUUUCAGAUACAUCACACAUCACAUGGCACUGUUUCUGUUUCCUGUUGGGUAAGGGUCUGAGUGCUCUGCAGCCAGGAUUUGUAAGUAAUUCAAAAUUCAUCUUCCUUGCUUAGUCAGGCAUGUAACUUUGAAAUUUACCAAUUAGCCUCCUGAAAGAUAAAUGCAGUAAAUCAUGUGCUGUGAUAGGUGAACUUGUGUUCAAAUAAUUCAUGGAAGCAUAAUAAUUUAUAGAACUUUCUUGACAUUAUUUAUCUAAGUAUAGUUCAAUACGUUUUGAUGCAUGUAUCCUCCAGACAAACAUUUCUCUCAGAUUAUAUUCUUCAGUUGCAUCUCACUGUAGAAAGGCGAAGUUGGAGAACUCAGCAAAAUUUCAGGAGGUGACAGUCAAUCAAGAAAGUCUUCAACUAUUUCUUACAAGGUCUGCCAUUUUCAAAAAUGAAAAUUUCCCAUGAGGAUCAAGUAUGGAAAUAAUCUGAAUCUAGUUUUUGACAUCAAAAAAUGUUUGUUAACAGCAUUAAAAGACUUUCCCUGGUAUUCAAACUUCCCAGAUCAGAGGUUUCUUUAGGAUGAGUGGAAGCCUCUCUCUUUAGGAUGAGGAAGUACAGCCCAUGGAAGUUUUUUGCUACAGAGUUUUUCAAGGAAAUUGCAUCCAGGCAAAAAGGGUAGAAACCAAAUGUAAAGAUGGAAAAAUCAGGAAAAUUAACUCCAAAAUGAAACUGUCAGCUUUUGUUAGGUGUUUAAUGUGUUAAUUAAUGUUAAUUUAUUUUUUUAUUUUAAUUAGUUUAUUUUAUUUAUGUUAAUUUAGUUUAAUUAAUUAAUUUAACGUGUUAAUUGAAUAUGUCUUUUUAUGUGUUAUGUGUUUUGUUAUGUGUAUAAACAAACAUAUGCACAGAGUUCAAGAGAAGUAUAUUGACUUCUCGUUAGCUGAAGAUCUGUUUCUCUGACCCAGCUGAAGGGACACAGAUAUUACUGACCAAAAAAGGGUUGUUCAGCAAUGACUAAUAAAUUGAGAUUGACUCACUUGUGAAUUAAUAAUAGAUAGAACAGCCACACUGUAAAUUGCAUUUUGUCUUUUAUUAGUAGGAGAGGAGAGUAGGAAAGGGUGCUGUGCUGGCUUAUUUUUGUAAAUAGCAUGAAGCUGUGAACUUUUAAAUUUCUUCUAUGUACUGAACUCAACAGAAUUGCAAGGCAUACUCUCAUUAUAGUUUCCUUUGUUAUUAUUAAAAUUAAUAGCCAUCUGGUGAGCAUCAGCUUCAAUAUAAAAAAUGAUGUUCUUUAGUUUGGUCAGCCUUCAGUGGAUAAGUGAGAGGCACGAAGGAUCUGCAUUUUCUCAGGCAUUACUUGGCAUUGGAUAUUUUCUGCCACCGGGAUCUAAGGGUAAUGGAUGAGAAAGCACUUCACAAUGGAUAUAAUUACCAUAUUCCAUGGGGCUGAAGUAACAUUCACAGCCCACAUUAUCUGUUCAAACUCUGUAAUACUAAAUAUGCAUUAAGUAUUGUGGUUUAUUUGAUCAACAGAACUCUCCCACCUCCCCUGUCCCUGCUCCCCAAGCCACAGAUGGAGCAGUGGCUUUUCAAUUGAGUGAGGACACCACAGGAUUUAUGGCUGCCUGGGGAUUAUUCUUUGGAUUUGGGGUUAACUUAAAAUUGGGCAAUGUUUUUAUAAUUAUUUUUUUCCUUUAUUUUAUUUUCCCCAUGUGAAAAAAAUCUGGUUUUGAUAUAUAUUAUUACCCAUGUAUUUAAAAUAAGUGACAAUAUGCAAACUGUGUUUCAAAUGGUGCAAGACUGGCCAAUUUCCAAGCUGGGUUAGAUUUAUAGGAUAACAAUAUAUUGUAUUGUUUUGUGCCAAAUUCUUGGACUGAUGUGACACUUAGUUACUUUUAACACACACAUACAGACCCCUACCUAUAUUUCUAUCUAUAAAAUUUUAUGAAAUACAGCAAGUAGCUGAAAGAUGCAUGUUUUUUAAAGAACUGAUUGUUUAAGGGAAAAUAUUCUAACUGUGUGCCUUCUACUGCCUUAUUUGUUCUUUGUAUUUCAGUGAAGUCUUGAAGACCUCGUCUGUUGUGAUAGGUGUACACGCAUGAGAAAAAAAGUGGUCUUUACCCCAGCUGCCCUGCAGCCAGUUCACUCCUUGUGACAUUAAUGCUUCUGUUUAUAUGAAGUAAACAAGAUGUAAUGAAUUAAAGGUUUCAUAAACUUAUGUGGGAAACCAGACAGGACAGCUAUGGAACCUUUGUGAAAAUCUGGCCAAGUUCAAAGAGCCUGCAAUAGAAGAGUUUGUUACAACCUAGGACGUGUCCUUCUGGGAAGGGAGAGAAGCAGAUGCAUCACCAUUUUGAAGUGGCUGUCUUUAUCCCUGGAAAAGCUUAUUUUAUAACCCAUGGCUCUGAAGCCUGGAGUGGCAAAGAAAUGACCGCAAAGUUUGUUUAUGAACCUUGUGCUUCUGGCACUCCAGCAAAGUGGAGUCUUAAAAGUCCGACAGGCCAGAGAUAAUUUUCAGUAAAAAACUUGCAUUGUUUUUGGAUUGCACUCACUCCCUUCUAUUUGUUUUUCAUGUCUACUCCUCUGAUCAUUCUCAUGUUUCUCUAUUUGCAAAGCUGAACAACAAAAGAAAAAAAAACAACACACAACUGUUUGCCACACUAGGAAGUAACAGAUUAGAAAUACAAAAAUUAAAAAUGGCUGCAUUGUUUGUAUUUCCUCUUAAUUAAAAUGUGAUG